rnacentral:rRNA from 1 species
UACGGAGGACCCAAGCGUUAUUCGGAUUUAUUGGGUUUAAAGGGUGCGUAGGCGGGAUAGUAAGUCAGAGGUGAAAUCCCACAGCUUAACUGUGGAACUGCCUUUGAUACUGCUAACCUUGAGUACAGAUGAUGUGGGCGGAAUAUGACAUGUAGCGGUGAAAUGCUUAGAUAUGUCAUAGAACACCGAUUGCGAAGGCAGCUCACAAAACUGUAACUGACGCUGAGGCACGAAAGCAUGGGGAUCGAAC